rnacentral:rRNA from 1 species
AUUGAACGCUGGCGGCAGGCCUAACACAUGCAAGUCGAGCGGAUGAAGGGAGCUUGCUCCUGGAUUCAGCUGCGGACGGGUGAGUAAUGCCUAGGAAUCUGCCUUGUAUUUGGGGAUAACGUCCGGAAACGGGCGCUAAUACCGCAUACGUCCUGAGGUAGAAAGUGGGGGAUCUUCGGACCUCACGCUAUCAGAUGAGCCUAGGUCGAAUUAGCUAGUUGGUUGGGUAAAGGCCUACCAAGGCGACGAUCCGUAACUGGUCUGAGAGGAUGAUCAGUCACACUGGAACUGAGACACGGUCCAGACUCCUACGGGAGGCAGCAGUGGGGAAUAUUGGACAAUGGGCGAAAGCCUGAUGCAGCCAUGCCGCGUGUGUGAAGAAGGUCUUCGGAUUGUAAAGCACUUUAAGUUGGGAGGAAGGGCAGUAAGUUAAUACCUUGCUGUUUUGACGUUACCAACAGAAUAAGCACCGGCUAACUUCGUG